rnacentral:rRNA from 1 species
AGUGAACGCUGGCGGUAGGCCUAACACAUGCAAGUCGAACGGCAGCACAGAGGAGCUUGCUCCUUGGGUGGCGAGUGGCGGACGGGUGAGGAAUACAUCGGAAUCUACUCUGUCGUGGGGGAUAACGUAGGGAAACUUACGCUAAUACCGCAUACGACCUACGGGUGAAAGCAGGGGACCUUCGGGCCUUGCGCGAUUGAAUGAGCCGAUGUCGGAUUAGCUAGUUGGCGGGGUAAAGGCCCACCAAGGCGACGAUCCGUAGCUGGUCUGAGGGGAGGAGCAGCCACACUGGAACUGAGACACGGUCCAGACUCCUACGGGAGGCAGCAGUGGGGAAUAUUGGACAAUGGGCGCAAGCCUGAUCCAGCCAUACCGCGUGGGUGAAGAAGGCCUUCGGGUUGUAAAGCCCUUUUGUUGGGAAAGAAAUCCAGCUGGUUAAUACCCGGUUGGGAUGACGGUACCCAAAGAAUAAGCACCGGCUAACUUCGUGCCAGCCGCCGCCGUAA